UACGUAGGUGGCAAGCGUUAUCCGGAAUUAUUGGGCGUAAAGAGCGCGCAGGUGGUUGAUUAAGUCUGAUGUGAAAGCCCACGGCUUAACCGUGGAGGGUCAUUGGAAACUGGUCGACUUGAGUGAAGAAGAGGGAAGUGGAAUUCCAUGUGUAGCGGUGAAAUGCGUAGAGAUAUGGAGGAACACCAGUGGCGAAGGCGGCUUCCUGGUCUGUAACUGACACUGAGGCGCGAAAGCGUGGGGAGCAAACAGGAUUAGAUACCCGCGUA
rnacentral:rRNA from 1 species